rnacentral:rRNA from 1 species
CAGUAGCCACGGGAAUACGGAGGGUGCGAGCGUUAAUCGGAAUAACUGGGCGUAAAGGGCACGCAGGCGGUGACUUAAGUGAGGUGUGAAAGCCCCGGGCUUAACCUGGGAAUUGCAUUUCAUACUGGGUCGCUAGAGUACUUUAGGGAGGGGUAGAAUUCCACGUGUAGCGGUGAAAUGCGUAGAGAUGUGGAGGAAUACCGAAGGCGAAGGCAGCCCCUUGGGAAUGUACUGACGCUCAUGUGCGAAAGCGUGGGGAGCAAACGGGAUUAGAUACCCCAGUAGUCCCUGUCUCUUAUAC